GAUGAAGAACGUAGCGAAAUGCUAUAAGUAAUGUGAAUUGCAGAAUCCAGUGAAUCAUCGAAUCUUUGAACGCACAUUGCGCCCGCCAGCAUUCUGGCGGGCAUGCCUGUUCGAGCGUCAUUUCAACCCUCGACCUCCCUUUGGGGAAGUCGGCGUUGGGGACCGGCAGCACACCGCCGGCCCUGAAAUGGAGUGGCGGCCCGUCCGCGGCGACCUCUGCGUAGUAAACCAACUCGCACCGGAACCCCGACGUGGCCACGCCGUAAAACACCCAACUUCUGAACGUUGACCUCGAAUCAGGUAGGACUACCCGCUGAACUUAAGCAUAUCAAUAAGCGGAGGA
rnacentral:misc_RNA from 1 species